ensembl:lncRNA
GGGUCACGUGUCUGGGGUGUCGCGGGCGCCGGAAGUGUCGCAGCGCCGCGGCGGCGCAGGGAGGCGGUCGAUCGGUCGGUGUGGCCGGGCCGCCCCCGCCGCCGCCAUGGGCGCCAGCGGCUCCAAGUCGCGGGGACUGUGGCCCUUCUCCUCCCCGGCGGCGGGCGGCGGCGGCGGCGCUGAGGGUGCCGGCGGGCAGCAGGCCCUGGCCCGGGCGCGGGCCGCGCGCGCAGCCACCCCGUUCGUCUUCACACGGCGCGGCUCCAUGUACUAUGAUGAGGACGGGGAUCUCGCUCACGAGUUCUACGAGGAGACAAUCGUUACCAAGAACGGGAGGAAACGCGCCAAGCUGAAGAGGAUCCACAAGAACCUGAUACCUCAGGGUAUAGUGAAACUAGAGCAUCCUCGCAUUCAUGUGGAUUUCCCGGUGAUCAUCUGCGAGGUGUGAGCCGCCAGACGUUGCUGCCCCGCUGCCCCCGGCCUCACCAGGUGAGGCUGCCUUGUGUUCCCACCCGAGGAGGACUCUGGGCGUGCGGCAGGGACCGCGGCUCUCCCCUCGCCCGGAGGUGAGGUGGGACGGAGCAGGCCGGGCUGGGCUUGGCUGGCGAUCCGUCCCUCGCAGGAGAUGGGUGACCUUGUGCAACGACCGCUUAAAAACAUCCUUGCUUGAGUCAGAAGACUAAAAAAUACCUUUUGUAGCCUCUAGCCGACGUUUGAUGGGUAACUGGAACUGCAAACGAGCUGCUGUGUUUGAGCUGUUAAAGGGAGAGCGAGCCUGCACUUCUCACCAGAGAAAAUCCCCUGCUUCUCAGGUAUGUGGCCCAGGGAGAGCCAGGGCAAGGGAAUGUGCUGCCUGGGCCCCCGAGCUCGCUCGGGCCCACUGGAUAGAUGGCCAGUGUUGCCACGUGUCGCUUGGCACAGGUGGUAUAUGAUGCUCCCCUGGAUGGGUCCGUUGAUGGAGGAUAAACAGGGCAGGUCAAGGAGGGACUGGUCUUGAAGCACAUCUGGCUGGCUGCUGCAGUCCCCUUGGGAAGUGAACGGGGAUCAGAUGCCGCUAUCUUGGACCUCAGUCUCUUCCCCCUAUGUGUUUCCCGCUUAUGCUGGCUCUGGGGUGGGCGGCUUUGCUGCUGCCUGCGGUCACUCUGCCUGCAGGAGAUCUUCACGGUCCGUGGCUGCUGCUGGCAGCAGCAAGGUCCCCAGCUCUGCAGUGGAUUUGCCUCUCCUGUGCAAGCCAGCUCCCACUGAGCACUGUCCCUCACCUGCUGCAGGGCCAGGCCUGCUGGGCAAGGCAUCUCCUCGUAACGUCCUCACCUCUCGCUACUGUCUUGAACAAUCCUCCUGGUGGGGUGGGCUUUGACAUGGCCAAGCAGGAAGGAAAUCUUCGUUCCCCAUUCCCUGAAAACAGUCCGUCGCUGUGCCGGCCCCGGUUUGGAAAUCUCCCUGGCAAUGUGAACUACAGUUCCUCCCGCAUCCCAGCUGGUGGUAGGAGGAGAAACACGAUGCACUUUACAGGGAGGCUUUCUGCUCCGUCUCGGAAGGUCCUGCUCUUUUCUCCUCUUUCCUCUUGCUUGAGAAAGUUGAGGUCGUCUUGGCAGCACUGAAGAGACCUCUCAUCCCUGCGUGCGAGCCCUGAGGAAGGCCUGACCUGUCCUCGCCAGUGCUAGCAGCCACUGCCUCCCUGCUCUGCAGCCCCGGACCAGGCAGGUGGAGGAGGACCGGUGGUGGGCACAGCUUUAAGCAGGAGCAGAGCCUGCUCCCCGCAGCAGCUGGCUCGGCUUUCCUUCUCUUUCGUUCCAGAACUUAUUUACUUUCUAAGCACUUCAGAUGUUUGCUACCUCGAUUUUUAAUUUAAGCUGGCACUUGGCUGCCAGCCCUGUCAGCCUCUGCGUUGGAUGUAUCCAUCCCCGUGCCCACCGAGAGCUGCCCGGGCGCGGGGCCACAUUCCCGGCUUCGGGGAGAUAACAGUGGUGUGGCUGUUGCCGUCUUCCUGUCACCACCUCUUCCCUCCGCGUCCCCACCCGCUGUUCCCAUCGACAGGAGUGAGCACAGAGGGUGAAGUGGAUGUGCUGGCUGCCACCCAUCAGGGAAGCAGGAGGGCAGGGCUCCAACAGGGAUCUUGUCUACACUGUGAUGCUGGGCGCUUCUUCCGACAUCUUUUGUUCUACUGCUUGCUUGAAAGAGUCUUGUCUUAAAACAGUCCCCACUGAAGUGUUUCUUACUCGCACCACCUGCUCUCAAGUUUCUCCCGGGCCGGAUCUCCCUGGGAAAGGUGUCCCUUGGGCUCCACAAGAGAGCAGGAGCUGCUGUCCCCAGGAAGAGGAGAGGAGAGAAAGCUGUGGCCAGGCUGCCCUGCUGCUGUCCAAGAGCACGGGAAGCGGCAUCGAACCCGCCUCGGGUACAGGGAAAGGCAGAGGAGGAGUGGGGAGGGGGCUGGUGCCAUUUGCCUGCCCCAGCGGGGAGCCCCUCGCCUGGCUACCACCCAGAAAUCUGUUGGCAAGGCAGGGCCUGAACCCCGGGGAGCAGAAGAGACCGAGACCAGCUUAGCAAGCAUGCUUUUGUCCUCGCUGACAGGCUGUCCACCCUUCCCCCAGGGCAUCAAACAUGCUUCCCCCUAAAAAACACAUCUUCUCCCACCCUCCCAUGUCGCUGAGCGGCAGUGAACCUCCGCAGGCUGCUAACAAGCUGCGUCCUGCCCCGCUUCUUCCCAGGCUGGUCCCCGAGCAGCCAGCCCCGGGCCCCCCCUCCGCUGGCCUCCAGCCCUCCUGCAGCAGCAGGGCCUCGGGAGCACCUAGAGUGGUCUUAAAAAUGUGAAGGUCGCUGUAAAUAGUAUCUGUGUCCACUGUGAUGUUGGAGCAAGCAAAAAACAAAACAAAAAACAAAGGAAAGUUUUCCUUUUGGUUCUUUUCUUGGGUUUUUUUUUACGAUUUCCGUGCAACGUUGUGCUGUCCCGUGUGGAUGUGUAUCUGAACCGCACUCACUGACACUAGGCUCCUUGCUCCUCUAGCGUGUGGGUAGGACCCGAGGGUUUGGGAAACGUACACUAUUUAUGAUCCUUCCUCCCAGUGCAUCUGUCCACUUUUGUUAAAUUUCAAUAAAAUUAUUUGUAGAGC